rnacentral:rRNA from 1 species
AUUGAACGCUGGCGGCAGGCCUAACACAUGCAAGUCGAGCGAGCGGCGGACGGGUGAGUAAUGCCUAGGAAUCUGCCUGGUAGUGGGGGAUAACGUCCGGAAACGGUAGCUAAUACCGCAUACCAUCAGAUGAACCCAUAUGGGAUUAGCUUGUAGGUGAGGUAACGGCUCACCUAGGCGACGAUCCCUAGCUGGUCUGAGAGGAUGAUCAGCCACACUGGGACUGAGACACGGCCCAGACUCCUACGGGAGGCAGCAGUGGGGAAUAUUGCACAAUGGGCGCAAGCCUGAUGCAGCCAUGCCGCGUGUAUGAAGAAGGCCUUCGGGUUGUAAAGUACUUUCAGCGAGGAGGCGUUACUCGCAGAAGAAGCACCGGCUAACUCCGUGCCAGCCGCCGCGGUAAUUC